UACGAACCGUCCAAACGUUAUUCGGAAUUACUGGGCUUAAAGGGUUCGUAGGCGGCCUUGUAAGUGGGGUGUGAAAGCCCUCGGCUCAACCGAGGAAUAGCGCUCCAAACUGCAAGGCUUGAGGGAGACAGGGGUAAGCGGAACUGAUGGUGGAGCGGUGAAAUGCGUUGAUAUCAUCAGGAACACCGGUGGCGAAAGCGGCUUACUGGGUCUCUUCUGACGCUGAGGAACGAAAGCUAGGGUAGCGAACGGG
rnacentral:rRNA from 1 species